rnacentral:rRNA from 1 species
AUUGAACGCUGGCGGCAGGCCUAACACAUGCAAGUCGAGCGGAUGAAGGGAGCUUGCUCCUGGAUUCAGCGGCGGACGGGUGAGUAAUGCCUAGGAAUCUGCCUGGUAGUGGGGGAUAACGUCCGGAAACGGGCGCUAAUACCGCAUACGUCCUGAGGGAGAAAGUGGGGGAUCUUCGGACCUCACGCUAUCAGAUGAGCCUAGGUCGGAUUAGCUAGUUGGUGGGGUAAAGGCCUACCAAGGCGACGAUCCGUAACUGGUCUGAGAGGAUGAUCAGUCACACUGGAACUGAGACACGGUCCAGACUCCUACGGGAGGCAGCAGUGGGGAAUAUUGGACAGUGGGCGAAAGCCUGAUCCAGCCAUGCCGCGUGUGUGAAGAAGGUCUUCGGAUUGUAAAGCACUUUAAGUUGGGAGGAAGGGCAGUAAGUUAAUACCUUGCUGUUUUGACGUUACUAACAGAAUAAGCACCGGCUAACUUCGUG